rnacentral:rRNA from 1 species
UUAAGCGGUACCUGACUAAGAAGCACCCGGCUAAAUACGUGCCAGCAGCCGCGGUAAUACGUAUGGUGCAAGCGUUAUCCGGAUUUACUGGGUGUAAAGGGAGCGCAGGCGGUGCGGCAAGUCUGAUGUGAAAGCCCGGGGCUCAACCCCGGUACUGCAUUGGAAACUGUCGUACUAGAGUGUCGGAGGGGUAAGCUGGAAUUCCUAGUGUAGCGGUGAAAUGCGUAGAUAUUAGGAGGAACACCAGUGGCGAAGCGGCUUACUGGACGAUAACUGACGUGAGGCUCGAAAGCGUGGGGAGCAAACAGGAUUAGAUACCCUGGUAGUCCACGCCGUAACGAUGAAUACUUAGGUGUUGGGGGAGACUAUUGCUCUUUUCGGCUGCCGCUAGCAAACGCAAUAAGUAUUCCAUCAAUGGGGAGUAC